rnacentral:rRNA from 1 species
GACGAACGCUGGCGGCGUGCUUAACACAUGCAAGUCGAGCGGUAAGGCCCUUUCGGGGGUACACGAGCGGCGAACGGGUGAGUAACACGUGGGUGACCUGCCCUCAGCUCUGGGAUAAGCCUGGGAAACUGGGUCUAAUACUGGAUAUGACUCCACGGUGCAUGUCGUGGGGUGGAAAGCCUUGUGCGGCUGAGGAUGGGCCCGCGGCCUAUCAGCUUGUUGGUGGGGNGAUGGCCUACCAAGGCGACGACGGGUAGCCGGCCUGAGAGGGCGACCGGCCACACUGGGACUGAGACACGGCCCAGACUCCUACGGGAGGCAGCAGGUGGGGAAUUCUUGCGCAAUGGGCGAAAGCCCUGACGCAGCGACGCCGCGUGAGGGAUGACGGCCU